GGGACGUUGGUGAAACGGCUAUCACCGCACGCUCUUAACGUGUCAGUUCUGGGUUCGAAUCCCAGGCGUCCCAC
rnacentral:tRNA from 8 species